rnacentral:lncRNA from 1 species
GUUGAAGAUAAGGUACAUUGUUAAGAAAAUUGUUUUCUAAAAAAAAAGAAAGAAAAGAAAAUUGUUUUCUUGCAUUGUGAACUCACUUGUAUGCAUUGUGAACUAUCUGUUGGUGCAGCGACUUGUGGUAGUGUUGGGGUAUUUAUGCUGAUGGUGUCAUCGGUGGUACAAUUUUUCCAAAAGGAGCCAUCACUGAACUGCUUGCAGAACUUGCCUGGACUAUGUAUCACUUGUAUGCAUUGUGAACUCACCUGUAUGCAUUGUGAACUAUCUGUUGGUGCAGCGACUUGUGGUAGUGUUGGGGUAUUUUUACUGAUGAUGUCAUCAGUGGUACAAUUUUUCCAAAAGGAGUCGUCAAUUGGCUUGGUGUAUCUUCCUCCCUUCUGCUUGUCAUGGUCGUUCAGCUAAAAUUUGGGGGCGAACAGAGGUGAGGCAAAGAACCUCCCCCCCCCCAGCUGAUACAAAGACCUAUCCACAGGUGUGGCUGUAUUCUGGACCGGUAGUCAGUG